rnacentral:lncRNA from 1 species
AUGUGCGUGAGCACUCUCUCUCAUACACACUCCAUACACAGCACACACACAGCAUACUACACACAGCACACACACACACACCACACCACACACACACACCACACCACACACACCACACACACACACCACACCAUACCAUACACAUCACACACACACACCACACACACACCACACCACACACACCAACCACACCACACACACACCACACACACCAACCACACCACACACACACACACACACCAGACCACACAAACCAUACCACACCACACACACCACACCACACAUACCACACACACACACACACCAACCACACCACACACACAUCACACACACACACCACACACACAGCACACACACAGCACACACACCACACCACACACACCACACACACACACACCACACCACACACACACCAACCACACCACACCACACACACCACACACACACACACCACACACACCACACCAUACCAUACACACCAUACGCACACCACACACACACACCAUACACACACCACACCACACACACACCAACCACACCAUACACACACACCACACCACACACACCAACCACAUACACCACACACACCAACCAUACCACAUACACCAACCACACCACACACACACACACAGCACACACCACAUACACACAACACACACCAACCACACCACACACACACUACCACAACACAUACCACACACACCACACACACCACACCACACACACCAACCACACCACACACACAGCACACACACAGCACACACACCACACCACACACACCAACCACACCACACACACCAACCACACCACACACACAGCACACACACAGCACACACACACACACCACACCACACACACACCCACCAACCACACCACACACACACACCACACACACACACCAGUCCACACAAACCACACCAUACCACACACACCACACACACACAGCACACACACACACACACACAGCACACACACAGCACACACACCAACCACACCACACACACCACACACACACACACCAGUCCACACAAACCACACCACACCACACACACCACACCACACCACACCACACACACACCACACACACCAACCAUACCACACACCAACCACACCACACACCAACCACACCACACACACACACCACACCACACACACACACCACACAUACACACACACCCUAUACACACCACACAUACACACACACACCACACUACACACACACACACACACACACACACCCUCACACCCCACACAUAA